AGAUGAACCCUACCGGCCCUCCUAUUGUCCCUGGUAACCUUGGGAAUGAAGAGGUGCUUUGCCCAAGUGUGGUUUCAUACUCUGUCAGAGUGGCAGAGCCUCCUGAGCUAGUGCACGCAGACCAAAGCCUUAGGGACUGGUCACUUCUUACCAAGUACAUGGGCUAGUAAUGAGCCGUGACACUUUUUCCAGGAGGUAUGUGGUCAGUGGAAGAUCCUGUCAAGCACUCUCCCACCUGACUCCAGCCUGUGAGAUGCUGAAAUCCCUUUGGUGAGCAGUCCGAGCUGUCCACUUUGAUUUCCUAAACUGUCUGCUUUCCACAGCGAUUCUCCAAAGCAAACACCAGGACCAAUCAGUCAUGAGACAACCAGCGCCUGUUUCAAUAUCUCCACUACACAGGGAAGCAAAUAUCCUGCUGUGAGGAGAGAUGGAGAAGCUUGAUAGGGAGGGAGAAACUGGGAGAAGCUUGAUAGGGAGGGAGAAUCAGGGAGAAGCUUGAUAGGGAGGGAGAAUCAGGGAGAAGCUUGAUAGGGAGGGAGAAUCUGGGAGAAGCUUGAUAGGGAGGGAGAAUCAGGGAGAAGCUUGAUAGGGAGGGAGAAUCUGGGAGAAGCUUGAUAGGGAGGGAGAAUCAGGGAGAAGCUUGCAAGAGAAAGAACCCGGUGGCCGCAGGUAGGCACAGCCAAGCUCACUGUGUUCAAUGUGUGUCUUCACUCAAGCUUCCCAUCACCCUUGUCUGCACUCUUGAUCCCUUCUCCCUGUCCAGCCCACAUGACUGCCAGCAUUUAAUCAAACGCUCACUCCUACUGGCCUGGUCCUUCAGCAACAGGGGCUGAGCAUCUAGGAAGUAUCCAUCACCAUCGUAGAUGCCAGAACUCCAGCGACACAUCCAUCAGAUGGAGCGGCUGACCUUGUGGAUAAGUGUGUAUCAAAAAUAAGUGCUGCACAGCAAAGGCCGUUGAUCCCGCGUGUGGAGCUCACCCAGUCAGGAGGACUUUUUUCCUUGGUGUGAUCAGGGACAGAUUGCCCAAGGAAGUGACACCUGAACUGAUACCUAAAGUGCACGAAGAAUCCAUCCAGCCACGAGUUCAAAGAUAUGUCGAGGGUGUGAAUGCCUCUAACUCGGGAAGCACCUUGCUCAAGAAGAUUUUCUAUCGAGUCUAAUAUUUCAAGAGCGGCUGUCUGCAUUUUUGAUAGCAUCAAGAAAAAGGGCCCAUGCAGGAGUUCAUGAAGUCUCAUCCAUCGGUGGUCUCCACAGGGUGGGCCAUGGACAGCCAUAAGGCAGGCACUGUGAGGUCUCACCCGGCCAGGGAGCCACCUGGGGAUGAAGCACAUGAACAACAGCAGCAACACAGACAUGAGGGUCUGAGGUAAGGCCUAAUACGGCGAGAAGCUCGGGGACCAGGUUCUAGACCCUCCUGCAAAAGCCCCGUGGAGAACACGAAGAAAUGGGUGCUCAUUUGCAAUUAGCAAGGCGGUACGUAGUCCUUGCUAAGUUCACGGCUUCACACUCUUCUCUAGAGGCAAGACGUCAGGAAAACCUGUCCAGCUCUUGGUUUGUUGAUGCAUAAAAUGAGAGCACUGGAUUAAAUGUGCAAGAUAAGAUGUCUCUAAGCUCUGAGAUUUCAGGGUAUAUACAAAUCAAAUUCAUUAAACAUCAAAUUCAGAAUUUUAAAAUAUUGCAUUCAUAUAGAUAACAGGCCAAAUCGAAUAUGGCGAAAGUCAGCACACUGAGACGUAACCAUCACAUUUGUACCCAGCCAGCCCACAAGUACAGAUUAGGAGAGUUUAGCUUGAGAGUCAUCUGCGUUAAACACCAGCAAAAUCUGAGUAACUGACUGGGUCCGCCUUGCCUAUUGGAAUUCCUUCUCCGGCAGAGAGACGUGGAACAGAUGCUCACGAGGCCUCUCAGGACCUACAGAUGCUCAUUCCCACAAGCUUCACCCCUGUGAGCUCUGCCCUGGUCUUUACCUCCGUCCAGUGAGUACAGGUAGACCAUGACACGGGCACAUUUGAUUCAAGGUCAUGUGGUUUUAUAAGCCCUUAACGGGGUCACUGAACGGUCCAAGCUCUUCCUAAGAACCUUUUGGCUUUGCCUGAUCCCCACCCCUCAAGAGGCAAUUGUCCUGGGUCACACACAUCCUCUGCCUGGUGUACAAAGUCACCUACGCACAAAGCUCAUAGCCAGAAGGCAGCUUCUCGAACUCUCUCUCUCUCAGCUCCUCAAGAGUUAUGGGCAUUAAUCUGUGGUCCCCUGAAGCACGCUGCCACUCUGCUGACUACAACCAAAUUCAUCUUCAAGUUGGAAAGAUGCCCCAGUGGGGGACACGUCAUGAUUUAAUGCCAUCCAAGUACUACAGGGCACACUUCUUAAAGAAACCAUUGUAAAUUAUUUGUGGCUAAUUCUGCUAGUGGACGGAGGGCACGCUAUGUUCUUGAAGUACAAGAGCCCAGCUUGUAUCUAAUAAUUGUUAUAUCUCCUCUGGAAUUUACUGCCGAUGUCUCAAUUUUAACAAUUUAAAUAACAAGCUUAACCAAGUGGAACAAGGCUCAGGCAGUCUGGCACUCAGGAUGAAGGCAGGACAACUCAUGUCUCAGUGAAUUUUCACUUUGACAUGAGCGGUGACACACCGAGAUGAAAUCUGGUUUAAAGCGGUAGCUUUAGCAAGCCCAUGACAGCCUCUUAGGCUCUGCAAAACAAUUUCAAGAGAGUGCACACAUAUACUUGUUAACUUUACUUAAGGAGACUGAUUAGAGACAACACAUGAAUAUGCUAAUAAGAGGUGCAAGCUGGAAGGUACACCCUCGAGCUGGGUAAUUGGCACUGCCGUCUUCAUCCUUCUUAAUGGACUGCUUCAUUGUCUUAAUCUUUGGCUAUGUCUGUUGGAUUAGGCACUGUAGGGAUCUUUUGUAUCCCCCGAGGAAUAACGACCACAGUGCCUUUCUGUGGACCCUGGCACUUGAUGUCGCCAUGCCAUGUUGUCGCUGUCAGUUCUGAACUCUUUUGGGUUACCUUCCCUUUGGCUCUCUUUAUUCUGUGUCUUGAAAAAGCCCCACAAGGUUACAAAAUGCCCUGUGCCCAAAAUUACAUAAUGCAUGCAAGGACCGCUCUGAAAGAUCGGUGCCACUGGUCGCUAUAACUCAAGGACAACUAACACAUGACUGGCAGCAUCUCUUCCCAACUGCAAAGGUGUGGAAGCAAGGAGACCAGGCCCUGAGCUUAAAAAAAAAACCAAAACAUGGAAAAAGUCCCUUCUGUGGCUCACUGCUUCCUCUUGAGCCAGGAGCUGAAUGUCUGAUGUCAAGGGCAUCUUGCCCAGCUGUUUUAUAAUCUUCUGCUCUGACCUAAGAACACCUUAGACUAAUUCAAAUUCACUUGCAUUAUCUUAAUUAAAUAAUGAAAAUCUUAAUUGGAUCAAUCCACUCCAUCAGUUAGGCAAUUUCUUAAACUAUUAAAGCAUGCAUCUGCAUAUGACCUAAAUGUUACCCAAAGAAAAUGAAUACUAAAAUCUACACAAACUCUUGAACACAAAUAUUCACACCAGCCUUCAUUUCUAAUAACCUCAAAAGCUAGAAACAGCCCAAAGAACCAUCAACAGGAGAGCAGAAGGGCAAAGUGUGCUCUCUCUAAAGUGGAACCUUACCAGCACAAACAAAUCUCCUAACACAUUUGCUGAGUGAAAGAAGCCAGCCAAAGAAGAUACACUGUAUACUGGCACUGGAUACAUAGUGAUAGUCAGUAGAUCAGAGGUACAAUAAGAAUACCCCUUGAUGUACAUUAAAGUGAAGGAAGGAGGAGGUCACAAUGGAACACAAGGGUAUUGGGCAUGCUCAGUCUACCAUAGUAGCAAUGGUUGCAUUGAGGCACAUCUAUGUCAAAGCUUAUAAAAAGUUUAAAAAUGGAUAGCUUAACUUGCUCAGCCAUAUUCACUGGUACUC